rnacentral:rRNA from 1 species
CUCUUAACCAAUUUAUAUGUAUUUGUAGUUCAAGUCCUUCUUGAAUGGGGCCACACUUCCAUAGAGGGUGCCAGGCCCGUAGAGCUUAUAUAGUUUAUAUUGGUGAGUUUCUCCUUAGAGUCGAGUUGCUUGAGAGUGCAGCUCUAAGUAGGUGGUAAACUCCAUCUAAGGCUAAAUAUAACCACGAGACCGAUAGAUAACAAGUACCGUGAGGGAAAGUUGAAAAGAACUUUGAAGAGAGAGUUCAAAAGUACGUGAAACCGUUCAGAAGUAAACCUGUUAUACUCUAAAAUUUAUAUAAUAUACAGGGAGAUUCAACAUCUUUACCGAAUAUAACGCAACAUUAAUAUAGAGACGACUGAUGCAUUUCAUAAUUAAUAUAUAUAUAUAUAUUUUAUUAUUUUACUUUAUGUUAAUAGCAGUGUUCGCUCAAUUUUUGUGUGUAAUGUUUAUAUCGGAGUUGUGCACUUCUUCCUGUAUUUUAUUACGUUGCGACUCGUUGUUGUACUAUUUUAUGGUUUAUAAUAUUAGACCGUGGCACAUAAGUCAAUAUGUACUUAUAUGACCCGGAAUUAUAGUAUACCUAAUAGUCAAUACAACGUUAUUAUAUUAUUAUAUGUGUUCAUAAUAUAUAUAUAUAUAUUUUUUGUACACAUUUGUCUGCAACGUAUUUAAUUAUAUGAGUAAUAACAGGACCCGUCUUGAAACACGGACCAAGGAGUCUAGCAUAUAUGCAAGUCAUCGAGUCAAUAUAUUAGACUCAGAGGCGUAAUUAACGUAAAUAUAUUUGAAAUUUAUAUUUAUAUAAAUUUUACAGUUAAGGGAAGAUGUUUAAUAUAUACAAUACAUACACAUAUUUUAUGUAUAUAACGAAAUUAAACCGCAUUCCUGGG